rnacentral:rRNA from 1 species
UACGGGGGGGGCAAGCGUUGUUCGGAAUUACUGGGCGUAAAGGGCGCGUAGGCGGCCUUCUAAGUCGGACGUGAAAUCCCUCGGCUUAACCGAGGAACUGCGUCCGAUACUGAAAGGCUUGAAUCCGGGAGAGGGAUGUGGAAUUCCAGGUGUAGCGGUGAAAUGCGUAGAUAUCUGGAGGAACACCGGUGGCGAAGGCGGCGACCUGGGUAGAUACUGACGCUGAGGUGCGAAAGCGUGGGGAGCAAACAGG